GACGAACGCUGGCGGCGUGCUUAACACAUGCAAGUCACGGGGGCCCGCGAGGGCAACCGGCGAACGGGUGCGUAACACGUGAGCGACCUGCCUUUCCGCGGGGGAUAGCCGGCCCAACGGCCGGGUAAUACCGCAUACGCUGCUUUGGGGGCAUCCCUGAAGUAGGAAACCUCCGGGGCGGAGAGAGGGGCUCGCGACCUAUCAGCUAGUUGGCGAGGUAACGGCUCACCAAGGCGGCGACGGGUAGCUGGCUGAGAGGAUGGCCAGCCACAUUGGGACUGAGAUACGGCCCAGACUCCUACGGGAGGCAGCAGUGGGGAAUAUUGCGCAAUGGCCUAACGGCUGACGCAGCGACGCCGCGUGUGGGAGGACG
rnacentral:rRNA from 1 species